rnacentral:misc_RNA from 1 species
AAGUCGUAACAAGGUUUCCGUAGGUGAACCUGCGGAAGGAUCAUUAUUGAAGCAUCGAGGGUUGAGCUGACUUGUAAUGAGUACUGUGCUCGCCUUCAACUUCUAUUUACCCACUUUGUGAACCUUUGUAGACCAUGGAUUACACUUAGCAACAAUCGUACUGUUCGUAGUACUGAAUAUCGCAUUGUUCGUAAUGCUGCAUUGUUGUCAGUCUUCAGUGACUGGAAGGGGGAUUGCGUUCAGCUUUUCCCGCGUGGUCCUACGGUCUAUGUUAUCCCCAACCCAAUACAGUUUAGAAUGUCAUUUGUGGGUCGAAAGACCUAUAAUUAAAAUACAACUUUCAACAACGGAUCUCUUGGCUCUC